rnacentral:rRNA from 2 species
GAACGCGUCUUGGUUAUUGAUGUUAAGUGCUUGCAUUUAACUGAUUUAACAUUGAGACGAGUGGCGAACUGGUGAGUAACACGUGGGUAACCUGCCCUUGAAGUAGGGGAUAACACUUGGAAACAGGUGCUAAUACCGUAUAACAACCAAAACCACCUGGUUUUGGUUUAAAAGAUGGCUUCGGCUAUCACUUUAGGAUGGACCCGCGGCGUAUUAGCUUGUUGGUAAGGUAACGGCCUACCAAGGCAAUGAUACGUAGCCGACCUGAGAGGGUAAUCGGCCACAUUGGGACUGAGACACGGCCCAAACUCCUACGGGAGGCAGCAGUAGGGAAUCUUCCACAAUGGACGAAAGUCUGAUGGAGCAACGCCGCGUGAGUGAUGAAGGGUUUCGGCUCGUAAAACUCUGUUGUUGGAGAAGAACAGGUGUGAGAGUAACUGUUCACAUCUUGACGGUAUCCAACCAGAAAGCCACGGCUAACUACGUGCCAGCAGCCGCGGUAAUACGUAGGUGGCAAGCGUUGUCCGGAUUUAUUGGGCGUAAAGCGAGCGCAGGCGGUUUCUUAGGUCUGAUGUGAAAGCCUUCGGCUUAACCGGAGAAGUGCAUCGGAAACCAGGAGACUUGAGUGCAGAAGAGGACAGUGGAACUCCAUGUGUAGCGGUGAAAUGCGUAGAUAUAUGGAAGAACACCAGUGGCGAAGGCGGCUGUCUGGUCUGUAACUGA